ACAGAUAUAGCCAGGGUCUGUCAAGUUUGUUCUACGAAUUGCAUUAAGGUGGGCUUGAAAACAAGAGAGAGUCAACGACAUCAGAGUAAAAGAGAUAAAUAUAUAAUGUUGCCACCAAAAAUACAAUUUCGUAUUCUCCCUAAUAAUGAGCGUAUAAAUUGAUUUUUAAAGUAAAUUACCCUUGAAGAUACUUUUAGCUAUUAUUCUAAUGCCAAAAAAUAUACUUAGUUGAGAAAUAUUAGAUAUAAAAUUUAAUAUUACUUAUUAGAAAAUAUAUAUGGGGGAUUAUGUGUGGCAACACUAAUGUCCGGACGCCAUAUUGGUUUUGACAUUGUUGACGUCACAAGAAAAAUGUCUGCGGCCGGUUGCGCACCAUUUUAUCUUGUACUAAUGUUUAUUUGUAAUAAAUAAACUACUUCCAUUUAAUUCUACAUACAUUGAUAACGUUGAGUCGAGCUUGCUCCUCCGUUGCUGUGUUUUGGUGAAAUUAAGUGUGUAUUUGUGAGAUAUAGACUCGGUGUUGAGACAGUGACUUGUUUGAUUUUGUUUUGUGUUUAAUUCGCGAUGAGUUCACAAAAAGAAAACACAAGAAUCUGCUGCUUGUGUGGAUCUUCACCUUCUAAAGAUCCCAGCAUCACUUUGCAUCGGUUUCCAAAGCCUGGCACUAAAAUGCUCUGCGUUGUGAAUUAUGGGCAAAGUAUUGCUUCCCAAACGAAGCCUGGUCUUCACCAAAAUUCCAGGACGCACUCCAUAAACAACAUAAGAUGCUAUGCAGCAAACAUUUCAAAAGCACAUGCUUUAAUGAGAAGAAGUUGUUCAGAACAGCUGUACCUGAUGUAGUAAAUGUUUGUAAAUAUCAAAAUAUAAUUGGUCUAGUGUCUUUCUCUUCCUAAUCAUUUCUAUAAUAAAGAAGAAAUAACACCAACGUUUAUUACACAAUAUGAUAGAAUAAUUUAAACCAUGUCUGUAAACUUGUUGUUUGUUAAACAAAUCGAUAGUAUUCUUUAUUGUAUAAUAACAUAGUCUUGUUUUUUAUAAUAGUAACACUUUAAAACUAACUAGAAUUUUUGUUUGUUUAUGUUUUGAUGUUGAAAUUGUAUGCAAUAGGCCCAUCCAUACUUGUUAUUUUGGACGAAAAUGUCUGAAAUACCUACCUAAAUUGAUUAAAUUCAUGUAUUUUAAAAUUCAUUACAUAGGUGCACAUACUUGUGAUUUAUGAACACCUUUUGUACCCUAUUUCUGGAAAUAAAUUAUAAUUAUUAACAUGCUAAAUAAAAAACUCUUGUACUGUAA